UACGUAGGGUCCGAGCGUUGUCCGGAAUUAUUGGGCGUAAAGGGCUCGUAGGCGGUUUGUCACGUCGGGAGUGAAAACUCAGGGCUCAACCCUGAAGCGUGCUUCCGAUACGGGCAGACUAGAGGUAUGCAGGGGAGAACGGAAUUCCUGGUGUAGCGGUGGAAUGCGCAGAUAUCAGGAGGAACACCGGUGGCGAAGGCGGUUCUCUGGGCAUUACCUGACGCUGAGGAGCGAAAGCAUGGGGAGCGAACAGG
rnacentral:rRNA from 1 species